UCCCUGGAGGACUAGUGGUUAGGCCACAGCGUGCUCACCACUGUGGCUAGGGGUUCGAUUCCUGGCCAGGAAA